rnacentral:rRNA from 1 species
GUGAACGCUGGCGGUAGGCCUAACACAUGCAAGUCGCACGGCAGCACAGUAAGAGCUUGCUCUUACGGGUGGCGAGUGGCGGACGGGUGAGGAAUACAUCGGAAUCUACUUUUUCGUGGGGGAUAACGUAGGGAAACUUACGCUAAUACCGCAUACGACCUACGGGUGAAAGCAGGGGAUCUUCGGACCUUGCGCGAUUGAAUGAGCCGAUGUCGGAUUAGCUAGUUGGCGGGGGUAAAGGCCCACCAAGGCGACGAUCCGUAGCUGGUCUGAGAGGAUGAUCAGCCACACUGGAACUGAGACACGGUCCAGACUCCUACGGGAGGCAGCAGUGGGGAAUAUUGGACAAUGGGCGCAAGCCUGAUCCAGCCAUACCGCGUGGGUGAAGAAGGCCUUCGGGUUGUAAAGCCCUUUUGUUGGGAAAGAAAAGCAGCAGGUUAAUACCCCGCUGUUCUGACGGUACCCAAAGAAUAAGCACCGGCUAACUUCGUG